GUGCUCGAUUCGGCAGCACAUAUACUAAAA
rnacentral:snRNA from 1 species